AUCGCUUCUCGGCCUUUUGGCUCAGAUCAAGUGUAGUAUCUGUUCUUAUCAGUUUAAUAUCUGAUACGUCCCCAUCGGGGACUACAUAUUAAAUGGAUUUUUCGAACAGGGAGUCGGAAAUGGGGCUUGCUCCGUCCGCUCCACGCAUCGACCCGGUAUUGCAGUACCUCCGGGAACGGUGCAACACUU
rnacentral:snRNA from 1 species